UGGCUCUCGCAUCGAUGAAGAACGCAGCGAAAUGCGAUAAGUAAUGUGAAUUGCAGAAUUCAGUGAAUCAUCGAAUCUUUGAACGCACCUUGCACCCUUUGGCAUUCCGAAGGGUAUGCUCGUUUGAGUGUCAUUGUACUCUCACACUUCCAAUUCUUUGGAUUGGGAGCGGUGGACUUGGGUGCUGCUGCUUACCGUGGCUCACCUCAAAUGUGUUAGUGCAACCGUUGGUUAGACAUAGUACGGCGUGAUAAGUAUCUUCGCUGGCGCCUCACUAGAGGGUGGCUGAUCAGGGCUCUGUGCUUCCAAUCGUCUUCGGACAUGGCUGACAACUUGACCUCAAAUCGAGUAGGACUACCCGCUGAACUUAAGCAUAUCAAUAAGCGGAGGAAAAGAAACU
rnacentral:rRNA from 1 species